rnacentral:rRNA from 1 species
UGGGGAAUUUUGGACAAUGGGCGAAAGCCUGAUCCAGCAAUGCCGCGUGAGUGAAGAAGGCCUUCGGGUUGUAAAGCUCUUUUGUCAGGGAAGAAACGGUGAGAGCUAAUAUCUUUUGCUAAUGACGGUACCUGAAGAAUAAGCACCGGCUAACUACGUGCCAGCAGCCGCGGUAAUACGUAGGGUGCAAGCGUUAAUCGGAAUUACUGGGCGUAAAGCGUGCGCAGGCGGUUUUGUAAGUCUGAUGUGAAAUCCCCGGGCUCAACCUGGGAAUUGCAUUGGAGACUGCAAGGCUAGAAUCUGGCAGAGGGGGGUAGAAUUCCACGUGUAGCAGUGAAAUGCGUAGAUAUGUGGAGGAACACCGAUGGCGAAGGCAGCCCCCUGGGUCAAGAUUGACGCUCAUGCACGAAAGCGUGGGGAGCAAACAGGAUUAGAUACCCUUGUAGUCCCUGAGCGGGCUGGCAAGGCGCAU